UACGUAGGGUGCAAGCGUUAAUCGGAAUUACUGGGCGUAAAGCGUGCGCAGGCGGUUAUGCAAGACAGAUGUGAAAUCCCCGGGCUCAACCUGGGAACUGCAUUUGUGACUGCAUGGCUAGAGUGCGGCAGAGGGGGAUGGAAUUCCGCGUGUAGCAGUGAAAUGCGUAGAGAUGUGGAGGAACACCGAUGGCGAAGGCAGCCCCCUGGGGUAACACUGACGCUCAUGCACGAAAGCGUGGGGAGCAAACAGG
rnacentral:rRNA from 1 species